rnacentral:lncRNA from 1 species
UGACAUGCUUCGAAGUACGGUAAUGGAAUAUUUCGAUUUAUUUUGUCACGAAUUGCGCCACGCGCGCGACCCUGAUUUACCAUUUCAGAUAGUGUCUGGGACGCACGAACAAAACGCCGCUAUUCGGAUAUAACGAUGGAUUAUUUUGGACCAAACCAACAUUUGUUAUUGAAGUAGCAGUCCUGGGAGUGCAUUCUGACGAAGACAACAAAAGAUUUUACACCACUUAAACACAGCCAUUUUCACUGGACUAUCUGUUGCUGCCAAGUCAUGAAUUCCCUGGGGGUUAGCCUUGCAAUAACCAAGUGGUUAUAUCAGCUGUUUUGGUGAAGACCUCCUGCAUCUGAACUGGCUGACACAGAGGGCACAGCAUGAUCAUAGGUAUGUUUUGAUGUGAGAGAGGAAGCUAGUCCCGUCAUCACCACCUCACCCGCUUUUAAGAUAACCUUCGGGCCAACCGGAGGCCCAAGGCUGGUUAGGAGACCUCUCUGGGAUAGGCGUCCCGCUCGCGUGACACCUGUCGACAACAUCCGGUGAAAUUGGAGGGAGCGCAAUU